AGCUAUCGAGGAAAUGCCGAAGCGGUGCGCUUACGGUACCUGCAAAUCAGACAGCAGAUAUCCUAAAAGUUUGGAGGGUGGGGUCGUAUUUUGGGCUUUUCUUAAGCCUAAAACACAAGAGGAAGAAUGUCGAAUGUGGAUCAAAUAGUGUGGAAGACCUCACUCACACCUGAAUCCAUCGAGGAUAAACAAAAACACGUUUGCUCCAAGCAUUUUGUGAAUGGACAGCCUACACCUGAAUAUCCGAAUCCCAUAGCUGCUAUCCCUGCAACUAUCCAAAGGAAGGAACAUUAUGGAGGUUGCCAAAAGCCUCCAACAAAAAGAACCAGAAGUGAGGAACAGGAUGCUCCGCAAGCCUACAGCUGAAACCCUACAGAGGACACUGCUUCUCCAAACCCUGCCGAAGACACUGCUUCUCAAGCCUGUGACAGUGAUACAGAGACACAUCAUGACCCAGACAGCCAUGGAGAGGCGUUGGAGACUCUACAGGAGACACUAGCAGAACAGAAGCAGGAGAUGUUGAACCUGAAGAUGGAACUUCAAGCCAAAGACAGCCAAAUCCAGUUGCUUGGGAAGGAACUUCAUGCAUACACUACACAUGCAUUAACCCCAGAGUGUCUAAACAACAGUCAUGUACCUGAGUACUUCCGCUACUGCACUGGAUUCACCUAUGAUCAGUUCAACAGCUUAUGUGAAUUUUUCAAAGUACCCAAUGAUCCCAUCACUCCACAAACAAACAUUCCUCUCUCUUACAAAAUGCCAGACAUCGAGAUCCGAAAACUUCCCGUGCGUAGUCAGUUUUUACUCACACUAAUGAAACUAAGACAACAUUUUGACCACAAAGAUUUAGCAUUUAGAUUUCAGAUUCGUGUACAGAGUGUCAGCACACUGAUGAACUCCUGGGUAGACUACAUGUAUGACAGACUUAGCCAACUGUCCAUUUGGCCGCAUAGAGAUGUGAUUUCACAGAACAUGCCUGUUAACUUUAAAGAGGAAUUCCCAAAUACAUUUGCAAUUCUGGACUGCACAGAACUGAAGACACACAAGCCCAGCUCAUUACUGUUGCAGAGUCAAAUCUAUUCAACCUACAAGUCCUCCAACACACUGAAGUCACUAGUUGCUUGUGACCCACAAGGUGCAGUUAUGUAUGUGUCUGCUUUAUUCACUGGAUCUAUUUCAGACAAAGAGAUCUUUAAUCAGUGUAAUAUCAUAGAGCUACUGCAGGGUUGUAUUCAGUGUGGCUACCUUAAAGUUGGAGAUGGAUUAAUGACCGACAAAUGUUUUUUUGAUUGAAAAAGAAGAGGAAGAGAUUGGUCUCAGACUGAACAUUCCACCUUUUGCUUUAUCUAACCGUUAGAUGCCACAUGCAGAUGUUGAGAUAACCAAAAAAAUCGCCAAACACAAGAGUUCAUGUGGAAAGGGCAAUUACCAAAAUUAAAAAGUUUAAGAUUGUGUCUGGUAGAAUACCAAUGUCCCGACUUUCCAACAUAAAUCAGAUAUGGUACGUGGUUAACAUGCUGUCCAACUUCCAACCACACAUCAUCAAAGCCCAGUGAUCAGGAGGCGCCCUGGUGGCUAAGGGUCCCCUCCUCUCGUACCUUUCUGUCUACAAGGUAUUACUGUCCAGAUAAUACAGGUACAUGUCCAUUACAUCCUUUUUCAUGUUUCUUUGGUCAUAUUAGUCCUAUGUAAUAUUGUAUGAUACUAACCUACUUGAAAUUACUUGUACACUAUUGCCUAUGUAACGAGUGACUUUUGGAUACAAAAUAAAUACUUAUGUUG